rnacentral:rRNA from 1 species
AACGGUAACAGGAUAGCUUGCUAUCGCUGACGAGUGGCGGACGGGUGAGUAAUACUUAGGGAUCUGCCUCUGUGUGGGGGAUAACUAUUGGAAACGAUAGCUAAUACCGCAUAAUGUCUACGGACCAAAGCGGGCUUCGGCUCGUGCGCAGAGAGGAACCUAAGCGAGAUUAGCUAGUUGGUGAGGUAAAGGCUCACCAAGGCGACGAUCUCUAGCUGUUCUGAGAGGAAGAUCAGCCACACUGGAACUGAGACACGGUCCAGACUCCUACGGGAGGCAGCAGUGGGGAAUAUUGCACAAUGGGGGAAACCCUGAUGCAGCCAUGCCGCGUGUGUGAAGAAGGCCUUCGGGUUGUAAAGCACUUUCAGUUGUGAGGAAAGUUUAGUAGUUAAUACCUGCUAGAUGUGACGUUAGCAACAGAAGAAGCACCGGCUAACUCCGUGCCAGCAGCCGCGGUAAUACGCGAGGGUGCGAGCGUUAAUCGGAAUUACUGGUGCGUAAAGCGCACGCAGGCGGUCUGUUAAGCUAGAUGUGAAAGCCCCGCGCUCAACGUGGGAGGGUCAUUUAGAACUGGCAGACUAGAGUCUUGGAGAGGGGAGUGGAAU